UUUUUAUUUGUUGUUGAAUUUCUAUAAAAAGUGCCUGAUACUAAAGAAGAAACUCUAAAAUAAUGUAAAAAAUUGUUUUCCGAUGGAUUAUCUGUAUAUGCAACUGACUUGUUAUAAAGGAUAUUCAAAUCUUACUCCCACCUUUUCCAUGCGCCUCAAUCUUGCUCUACCCUUAUCCUAUUCGAAAAUCCCUAGUCUCCCGCUUCAUUCGCAUUACUAAUAACACACGUACUACUAUUUUGCAGAUAACAACCUAGAUCAACGAGCCAUGUUACCGCUUCUGACCGCAAUGGAAAAAGCCGAAUUUAGUCGAACGCGGCCUGGCGCCAGAACGGUACUAAUGCACCAAGGUUUCCGCUACUAUCGAGAUCGAAACCUAACCUUUACGACCGAAUGGCGCUGUGCACUAUCAAUAAAGCGACAGUGCCCUGCCCGGGCCGCGACCAAAAAAGUCCGGGGCGUAAUUUACGUCCACCCUACCGACGACGGACACAAUCACGAUGUGGACGAAUAUCGAAGACUCGCUAGAAAAAGUGCCAUCGUUCCGUAUAAACCGCGGCGCACUCGGAUUAACUUACUCCCGUGGACCGAGAUGGACGUGGCAGAAUUCGGUCAAACCCAGCGUGGAGCUAAACGGCUCGUCCACAAUGGUUUCCAAUACGUUAAGGUGAAGAUGAGUGUGUCUACCACUAACUGGCGCUGUGCCUUAGCACACCGUAAAGGUUGUCGUGCUCGGGUUCUUACCAAAGACAUCCAGGGAGUGACGUACGUCCAUGCUACUAACGAUGAACAUACGCACGGUGUAGGGGAGUACUAAUAAACAUGAACGUCCAAGACUUCAUUCCAUUCAAAUCACUAUCGUCCUAACGCUUCAAAACCUUCCUUCCGAGAUUCUUACUGUCCGUGAACGUACUUCUUGCCAUAAAAUAAAAUCAAUCUUAACGAAGGUGUGUGAAGUACAUGAUUAACUCACCAGUCUAGUACUUCAUUUCGAUUUGCCAUACUCAAAAGGUGCAUUUUCAUUUCAGUAACCACCAUCCGGGAUAAAGUGCACCACACUCGCCUCACACCGCCGCAACUUUUGGCCGUCAUGGAGGUGGCCGAAUUCGAUCUAUCCAAGCGAGGAACUAAAAAACUUAUCUACAAAGGAUUCACCUACUAUAAGGAGCGAGAUUAUCCGUUCUCGACCAAUUGGCACUGUGUGGAAAGAAAACAUGGAUGUCGUGCCCGCGCAGUUAGCAAAAAAAACCGCGAAGUGGUCUACGUCUACCCCACUAAGGAUGAUCACAACCAUGCUGUCGAGGACUGAAAAGUGAACCAUCUUCGAGAGUCAAAUGCCUUGCGUGAUAUUGCAAUAAGCACUGUGAAGGGGAAGCAGGAUGCUGAUAGAUUUAAUUACGUCAAGUAUCGUGAGUAAGGCGAUUCGAGCAGUGG